UAUACCCUGUUGCUUUGGCGGGCCCACCGGGUCUCUCCGGUCGCCGGGGGGCACUGCGCCCCCGGGCCCGUGCCCGCCAGAGCACCCUAUGAACCCUUCUGAAGAUCGGCGGUCUGAGUGGGAUGAUAAUCAUUAAAACUUUCAACAAUGGAUCUCUUGGUUCCGGCAUCGAUGAAGAACGCAGCGAAAUGCGAUAAGUAAUGUGAAUUGCAGAAUUCCGUGAAUCAUCGAAUCUUUGAACGCACAUUGCGCCCCCUGGCAUUCCGGGGGGCAUGCCUGUCCGAGCGUCAUUUCUGCCCUCAAGCGCGGCUUGUGUGUUGGGCGUGGUCCCCCGGCCCCGGGGGACCUGCUUCAAAGGCAGCGGCGACGUCCCGUCUAGGUCCUCGAGCGUAUGGGGCUUUGUCACCCGCUCGGGAGGGGCCUGCGGGCGUUGGUCACCCCUAUUUCUUAUUGUACGGUUGACCUCGGAUCAGGUAGGAGUUACCCGCUGAACUUAAGCAUAUCAAUAAGCGGAGGAAAAGAAACCAACCGGGAUUGCCUCAGUAACGGCGAGUGAAGCGGCAAGAGCUCAAAUUUGAAAUCUGGCCCCCCCGGGGUCCGAGUUGUAAUUUGGAGAGGAUGCUUCGGGCACGGUCCCCAUCUAAGUGCCCCUGGAACGGGCUGUCACAGAGGGUGAGAACCCCGUAUGGGAUGGGCGGCCGCGCCCGUGUGAAGCUCCUUCGACGAGUCGAGUUGUUUGGGAAUGCAGCUCUAAGCGGGUGGUAAAUUUCAUCUAAAGCUAAAUACUGGCCGGAGACCGAUAGCGCACAAGUAGAGUGAUCGAAAGAUGAAAAGCACUUUGAAAAGAGAGUUAAACAGCACGUGAAAUUGUUGAAAGGGAAGCGUUGGCCACCAGACGCGCCCGGGAGGGCUCAACCGGCACCUGUGCCGGCGUACUCCCCCCCGGGCGGGUCAGCAUCGGUUUGGACGGUCGCAGAAAGGCCCCGGGAAUGUAGCACCCUCCGGGGUGCCUUAUAGCCUGGAGUGUCAUGCGGCCC
rnacentral:rRNA from 1 species